rnacentral:rRNA from 1 species
AUGGAUCAGCUACCUGCAGAUGAUCACUCCUGCUACCACGGCUACUCCAUCUCUUUCUCCUCCGGUGCCCAGUGCACGCAUCACCAGCACGCUCCUCAGGCUCAUGAUGACAUUGAGAUUGAUCACCAGCUGCUCUCGUUCCUCAUGGAAGCCACCAGCAGCAACGACGGCAGCUCAACCUCCACACCUCCCACCUCUGCCUGGGAGGCCGGCAACGGCGAAAGCAGCUCACGCGGCGAGAACAUGGCGGCGCCUGCCGCGUGGCCGGCAUCGGAACCCGGCAGGAGCGCUGGUAGUGCGCCGGACUCGCCGCUCAUCGGGGUGCGGAAGCGGCCGUGGGGCAAGUACGCGGCGGAGAUCCGGGACUCCACCCGCAAUGGCGCCCGCGUCUGGCUCGGCACUUUCGACACCCCGGACGCCGCCGCGCUCGCCUACGACCAGGCCGCCUUCUCAGUGCGCGGCCCAGCCGCCGUGCUCAACUUCCCUGUCAAGCUUGUGCAGGAGUCGCUGCGCGCGCUCGGGCUCGGCGUCGGCCGCGCAGCGGCAGCCGCGGGGGACUCGCCUGCUCUCGCGCUCAAGCGCCGGCACUGCAUCCGGAAGAGAAACCCCAAGAACAAGAGGAGGAUGGGCACGUCGGCGACAGCGACGGAGGUAGCUGCUGCAUCGUCAUUGCCAACGUGCGUGCUGGAACUGGAGGACCUUGGACCCGACUACCUCGAGGAGCUGCUCACCUUGUCCGAUAUG